AUUGAACGCUGGCGGUAUGCUUAACACAUGCAAGUCGAACGGUAACAGGCCUUCGGGCGCUGACGAGUGGCGGACGGUGAGUAACGCGUAGGAAUCUGCCUCAUAGUGGGGACAACGUGGGGAAACUCACGCUAAUACCGCAUACGCCUACGGGGAAAGCGGGGGAGUCUUCGGACCUCGCGCUAUGAGAUGAGCCUGCGUUAGAUUAGCUAGUUGGUAGGGUAAAGGCCUACCAAGGCGACGAUCUAUAGCUGGUCUGAGAGGACGAUCAGCCACACUGGGACUGAGACACGGCCCAGACUCCUACGGGAGGCAGCAGUGGGGAAUAUUGGACAAUGGGCGCAAGCCUGAUCCAGCAAUACCGCGUGUGUGAAGAAGGCCCUAGGGUUGUAAAGCACUUUCAAUUGGGAGGAAAACCUGCCGGUCAAUACCCGGCAGCUUGACAUUACCUUUAGAAGAAGCACCGGCUAACU
rnacentral:rRNA from 1 species